UAGGGAAUCUUCGGCAAUGGGGGCAACCCUGACCGAGCAACGCCGCGUGAGUGAAGAAGGUUUUCGGAUCGUAAAGCUCUGUUGUAAGAGAAGAACGUGUGUGAGAGUGGAAAGUUCACACAGUGACGGUAACUUACCAGAAAGGGACGGCUAACUACGUGCCAGCAGCCGCGGUAAUACGCAGGUCCCGAGCGUUGUCCGGAUUUAUUGGGCGUAAAGCGAGCGCAGGCGGUUUAAUAAGUCUGAAGUUAAAGGCAGUGGCUUAACCAUUGGUCGCUUUGGAAACUGUUAAACUUGAGUGCAGAAGGGGAGAGUGGAAGUCCAUGUGUAGCGGUGAAAUGCGUAGAUAUAUGGAGGAACACCGGUGGCGAAAGCGGCUCUCUGGUCUGUAACUGACGCUGAGGCUCGAAAGCGUGGGGAGCAAACAGG
rnacentral:rRNA from 1 species